GACGAACGCUGGCGGCGUGCUUAACACAUGCAAGUCGAACGGAAAGGCCCUGCUUUUGUGGGGUGCUCGAGUGGCGAACGGGUGAGUAACACGUGAGUAACCUGCCCUUGACUUUGGGAUAACUUCAGGAAACUGGGUCUAAUACCGGAUAGGAUCUCCUGCUGCAUGGUGGGGGUUGGAAAGUUUCGGCGGUUGGGGAUGGACUCGCGGCUUAUCAGCUUGUUGGUGGGGUAGUGGAUUACCAAGGCCUUGACGGGUAGCCGGCCUGAGAGGGUGACCGGCCAAAUUGGGAUUGAGAUACGGCACAGACUCCUACGGGAGGCAGGAGUGGGGAAUAUUGCAUAAUGGGCGGAAGCAUGAUGCAGCAAAGCAGCGUGCGGGAUGACGGCAUUCGGGUUGUAAACCGAUUUCGCCUGUGACGAAGCGUGAGUGACGGUAAUGGGUAAAGAAGCACCGGCUAACUACGUG
rnacentral:rRNA from 1 species